rnacentral:rRNA from 1 species
UACGUAGGGGGCAAGCGUUGUCCGGAAUUAUUGGGCGUAAAGAGCGUGUAGGCGGCCAGAUAAGUCCGCUGUGAAAUCUCGAGGCUCAACUUCGAGCUGUCGGUGGAAACUAUCUGGCUAGAGUCCGGAAGAGGAGAAUGGAAUUCCUGGUGUAGCGGUGAAAUGCGUAGAUAUCUGGAGGAACACCGGUGGCGAAGGCGGCAUCCUGGACCAACACUGACACUGAGGAGCGAAAGCCAGGGGAGCAAACGGG